UGGGGAAUAUUGCACAAUGGGCGAAAGCCUGAUGCAGCGACGCCGCGUGAGGGAUGACGGCCUUCGUGUUGUAAACCUCUUUCAGCAGGGACGAAGCGCAAGUGACGGUACCUGCAGAAGAAGCACCGGCUAACUACGUGCCAGCAGCCGCGGUAAUACGUAGGGUGCAAGCGUUGUCCGGAAUUACUGGGCGUAAAGAGUUCGUAGGCGGUUUGUCGCGUCGUUUGUGAAAACCAGCAGCUCAACUGCUGGCUUGCAGGCGAUACGGGCAGACUUGAGUACUGCAGGGGAGACUGGAAUUCCUGGUGUAGCGGUGAAAUGCGCAGAUAUCAGGAGGAACACCGGUGGCGAAGGCGGGUCUCUGGGCAGUAACUGACGCUGAGGAACGAAAGCGUGGGUAGCGAACAGG
rnacentral:rRNA from 1 species